rnacentral:rRNA from 1 species
UGACCCUACGGGGCGCAGCAGUGGGGAAUAUUGCACAAUGGGGGAAACCCUGAUGCAGCGACGCCGCGUGAGUGAAGAAGUACUUCGGUAUGUAAAGCUCUAUCAGCAGGGAAGAAAAUGACGGUACCUGACUAAGAAGCCCCGGCUAACUACGUGCCAGCAGCCGCGGUAAUACGUAGGGAGCAAGCGUUAUCCGGAAUUAUUGGUUGUAAAGGGUGCGUAGACGGGACAGCAAGUUAGUUGUGAAAGCCCUCGGCUUAACUGA